AGAGUUUGAUCAUGGCUCAGGAUGAACGCUGGCGGCGUGCCUAAUACAUGCAAGUCGUGCGGAAAGGCCACUUCGGUGGUACUCGAGCGGUGGACGGCAGAGUAACGCGUAGGAACAUACCCCAAACUGAGGCAUAACUGCUCGAAAGAGCAGCUAAUACCGCAUGUGAUCUUCGGAUUAAAGCUUCGGCGGUUUGGGAAUGGCCUGCGUCCGAUUAGCUAGUUGGUGAGGUAAAUGCUCACCAAGGCUUCGAUCGGUAGCUGGUCUGAGAGGAUGAUCAGCCUGACUGGAACUGAGAACGGUCCAGACUCCUACGGGAGGCAGCAGUAGGGAAUUUUCCACAAUGGGCGAAAGCCUGAUGGAGCAACGCCGCGUGCAGGAUGAAUGCCUUCGGGUUGUAAACUGCUUUAUUAGUGAAGAAUAUGACGGUAACUAAUGAAUAAGGGUCGGCUAACUACGUG
rnacentral:rRNA from 1 species